ACAACGGAGCAUAUAAGAAGAAAGAGAUGCAGAGCAACGAUUCAGAAAGCACCUAACCAUUUCAAAGUCGUUUCAGAUCUACCGUUAAACCCCCGAUCCCUAGCUUUUUUAGCCUUCCGCUUAGAACUUCAUCCCAACCCGGAAAUUGAUUGCACCUUGCCAAAUUCUUGUGGCAUAUUUUUGGUUCCUUGUACUCCUUGUUUGCGGAGGACACGACCAAUAUUGCAAGGGUUCUCAUUGUUCCUAUUUGCAGAAGACACCAAUAUGUUGUCUGAAGCUGCACAAAAGCAUAACUUUUGAGGGCAAAAUCUGCUUUUUCUUCUAAAUUUGAAUUAUUUUUCGGGAAGGAUUUGUUCAUUCGAUUUAUGGUUUUGUAGGAGGUAGGUCAAAUGGUAAGGUUCGGGAAAUUAUGAUGGUGCAAUAUUGGACUUCAUUGAAGUUGGGAAAUUAUGAUCAUAUAUUAUAUGACCGACCACACAGUAUAAGACUUCA